UAAAUAAUUAUUAAAUAUUAUUGAUUUUCCCGAAUUUAGAAGAGCUACUUUGCUAGGUUGUUGAUGUGGCAUAAUCAUUGGUAAUAAAAAAAGUUGAAAUGAAAUGUUAUUCGUUUCUAAAUAUAUCUGGUUUUCCAAGAAACAAGUUUAAUUUGGUUGGUUUUCUAAUUUUAAAUCUAAUUUUUGAUUUGAUGUUUGGGAUCAUCUUAUGGCUUGGGGGAUGAGCUCUAAGUUUGAUUCUUAAAAGAUUGAAUUUUUGAUACUAAAGUUGAUAGGAUUGGGAGUUUCUAUUCUAAGAGGGAGUUAUAUCCGGUUUUAGUUUUUGUAUUAUUUUUAUUGUCUUUAAGUUUUUUAUUGGAAUAAUUGCAAUAAUGUAAAUUGCGGGGUAAUUAUGAUUAAAUUAGUAUAUUUUGAUUGUAUUACAAUUGGACGGUUUGUUAGAUUGAAUAAAGGAACUCGGCAAAAUAACUUCCCGCCUGUUUAUUAAAAACAUGGCCUUUUGAUUAUAAUUUAAGGUCUCGCCUGCCCACUGAGGUUUUAAAUGGCCGCGGUACUCU
rnacentral:rRNA from 1 species